rnacentral:rRNA from 1 species
UGGAUCCAGACUUUGAUUAUGGCUCAGGACGAACGCUGGCGGCGCGCCUAACACAUGCAAGUCGAACGAGAGAUGAGGAGCUUGCUCUUCAAAUCGAGUGGCGAACGGGUGAGUAACGCGUGAGGAACCUGCCUCAAAGAGGGGGACAACAGUUGGAAACGACUGCUAAUACCGCAUAAGCCCACAGCUCGGCAUCGAGCAGAGGGAAAAGGAGUGAUCCGCUUUGAGAUGGCCUCGCGUCCGAUUAGCUAGUUGGUGAGGUAACGGCCCACCAAGGCAACGAUCGGUAGCCGGACUGAGAGGUUGAACGGCCACAUUGGGACUGAGACACGGCCCAGACUCCUACGGGAGGCAGCAGUGGGGAAUAUUGCACAAUGGGGGAAACCCUGAUGCAGCGACGCCGCGUGGAGGAAGAAGGUCUUCGGAUUGUAAACUCCUGUUGCUGAGGAAGAUAAUGACGGUACUCAACAAGGAAGUGACGGCUAACUACGUGCCAGCAGCCGCGGUAAAACGUAGGUCACAAGCGUUGUCCGGAAUUACUGGGUGUAAAGGGAGCGCAGGCGGGAGAACAAGUUGGAAGUGAAAUCCAUGGGCUCAACCCAUGAACUGCUUUCAAAACUGUUUUUCUUGAGUAGUGCAGAGGUAGGCGGAAUUCCCGGUGUAGCGGUGGAAUGCGUAGAUAUCGGGAGGAACACCAGUGGCGAAGGCGGCCUACUGGGCACCAACUGACGCUGAGGCUCGAAAGUGUGGGUAGCAAACAGGAUUAGAUACCCUGGUAGUCCACACCGUAAACGAUGAUUACUAGGUGUUGGAGGAUUGACCCCUUCAGUGCCGCAGUUAACACAGUAAGUAAUCCACCUGGGGAGUACGACCGCAAGGUUGCAACUCAAAGGAAUUGACGGA